CGGCACAUGCCUCGUUGCUCCAGCCUCUAGUCUCACCCUGCACGGUUGCUUCCACUUUCCAUUUAUGUCAACAGGGAACAGCAGCUAGUGGUGCAUCGGAGCUUACAUCCACCAUGGCCACUAUUUCUGUUGCAUAUUCGUGCAUCCGCUGCAGCUUGAUUCUCUGAAGAAAUAGAAGACACAUAUACUCCAGAUGGACUGAUCUUCACUCGAGUACCAUUAUUUGGACGGCACAUGUUUGUCUGAAGAAGGGUGCGUUGCUCAGAUGCCGACACAUCAAACCUACCAACUGCGGUCACUGUUUAUCAUAUGGCAAAGACAAAGUUAGACCAUAAUAUCAGUAAAUAUGAAAUAUUAGUACUAAAUUAGUAUACUUUCAUCAACCUCGUUUCCUUUUUGCCGAGCACUUUGGUUGAUGGACCAAUGAACUGUGUAUCUUAGAGCUUGAAGAUGGUUCCUGUAACGAAGUGACUGCUAUUUCUUUUCCUGGCACACAAUUAUAUAUCAAUAUCAUCACAUAAUUAUGUACAA